CUCAGACUUUUUGCUGAGAAAUACAACACUGCAGGAGUUCCACAUGGACAGUGGGAUCAAGUGCACUCUCAGCAAGUUUGCAGAUGACACCAAGGUGAAUGGUGCAGUUGACAUGCUAGAAGGAAAGGAUGUUAUCCAGAGGGACCUGGACAGGCUUGAGAGGUGGGCCCAUACCAAUCUCAUUAAAUUCAGCAGGGCCAAGUGCAAGAUCCUGCACCUGAAUGGGGGGCAAUCCCAAGCACAAAUACAGAUUGUGUGGAGAAUGGUUUGAGAGUAGCCCUGAGGAAAAGGGCUUGGGAGUGUUGGCUGAUGAAAGACUCAACAUGAGCUGGCAAUGUGCUCUUGUGGGGUUGCAUCAAGAGAAGUGUGGCCAGUAGGUCAAAGGAGGUGAUUCUGCCCCUCUGCUCUCAUGAGACCUUAACUGGAGCACUGCAUCCUAUUAUGAGGCCCCCAGCAUGAGAAGGACAUGGAGUUCUUGCAGUAGGUCCAGAAGAGGGCCAAGAAGAUGAUCAGAAGGAUAGAGCACCUCCCCUAUGAGGACAGGGAAAAGAGAUUGCUUCCUCUCCGUGGUUCACUCAGUAUCAAGAGAGUCUAAAGACUGAAAGAGACCAAGGAGUCUGAAUUUGAUGCUCUCAUGAUCAAGUGAGGGAUUUACAAGUAGCAACAGUGCAGAACUGCUGUGCCAAGGUGUGGGGCCAAGGAUCUAGCAGAGAUCCACCUCUGCCUCUUCUCACCAAGUUCCUCUGCAAGUUCAGGCCUAACCACGUGGGGAAGCACCUGUGAUCCUCUUGGGCGAAUUUGUCUGCGAUCAACAUACCACAACACCAAUCAGUCCUGUGGCACAAAUGGAAGUAAAUUAUUACCUUGUUCACCGUACAGAAAGUAAGGAACUGAACUUCAUGACUGGUUACGAUUUCUGCAAGACUGAACACACACUUUGCUGUAAGGCCAGAUGAAAACAGUUGCACAGCCGAGCCUCCCUCCGCUCCAACAGUUGUUGUUUCAAAUACAAUCAUUUUCUCAAAACAUCUCCCAGACCAGAGCUGGAAACCUGAACAACUUAGAGUGCAAGGAGGGUCUCUCUGUGGUAUUAUGUACAUAACUGCCUUUUCACUUGGCUGGUAACUUGAUGCUUUAGGCUUCUAAGUCCAACCUCAGUGGCUGAAAGUACAGUAAUCUCCAUUGCACUUGACACAGCAUGGCAGAAGGGCCUCCAGUUCUGCUGCAGUCUUCAGAAAGGCUUUUGUUGUUGUGAGGGCUUCUGAAGCUCCCUUGGAGAACCCCAUGGUCACUUUUGGUCACGUCACGUACAUAAAAAAAA
ensembl:lncRNA